AUACUUUUCUUCCAGGCAUUAAUUGAUUUCACAGAUCCGUAUGAAAAUUUCAUCACUGGUUUCAUGAUGAAUGAACAGGACUAGUGGGCAAACAUGUGGAAUCAAUCCAUCAAGAGAAGAGAUCCUUGUGUUGUGGCACACUUUGCAGUCUGUUUGUGCUCUCCAGAAAGGAAUGUGGGGUGGAAAUCCUGCAGAGAGCUGAGAAUACAACAUGGGCUGUGACACCUCAAUGGGAUAAAUGUUCAUUCACUGGCUGGGCAUUCCCCACUGAGUGAAUGGCAGGAGUGGCUACUCCAUUUACACAUCACUACAAAGGGGCAUCUUUCCAAAGAGGCAUCAUCCAAGCAGGAAGAAGCCCAAUUGAGAAUAACCCUAACCAACAAAUACUUCUCCAACUGACCGUACAUGGGGAGCUGUGGGCCAUCAGAANGUUAUAG
rnacentral:lncRNA from 1 species